rnacentral:lncRNA from 1 species
UUGCAAAAAAAUCAAAUAAAAAUUCAAAGAAAUUGAAAAACCAAAUAUAUAAAUACAGAUAAUGGAACAAAGAAAAAAUAAAAGGAACCCAAAAACAGAAAAUAAGAAACAGAAAAUAUGAACGGAACAGAGGAUGGGGGAAAAAAGAACAUACAUAUUAAACGGAAUGAAAAUGAAAUAUAAAACUGAAUUUGUAAAAGGUAGAAUAAAAUAAAAUUUUGAAACAAAUAGAUGAAAUCAAAUUCAUAAACCAAAUAAAAAAAACAACUAAGAAAAAAUACAAUAAAUAAAUUAAAAAGGACAAAUAAAACUGAAUUUCUCAAAAUUAGCAUAAAGUUGAAUACUUAAAUAGCAAAUAAAAAUUAAAAUUAAACAAAAGUAUAAAACUGAGUUUGCAAAAAGAUAGGAAAACUGAAAACACCAAACAAGCAUACAGAACAUGAUAUAUAAAACUGAAGACUGCAACACAGAUAACAACGAUCUAAAAAAUAAAGUGGAAAAGUUGACUUGUGAAAACAUGUAAUAAAAAGGAACUUUACUUAAACAACUACAUACAAAUUUAUGUUUAUAAAGAUGGAACAGAAAGUAGAAAGAACAUUGACAAAAAAAAUUAUAAAACUGAAUUUACGAAAACUGAAACAAACUAAAAGCUUGCACAAGAUACGAAUAUGUAAAAGAUAACAGAAAUAAUAACAAAAUACGAAUAUGUAAAAGCAGAUAACAGAAAAAACAAAGCAAAAAAUGGAUUUGCAAAAGUGAACAUAAAGAUGGAAAAUAAAGAGAAAACAAGAACAAAAUCAUAAAAAAUGAAAAUAUAAAACAAAAUUUGCCAAAACAAAAUAAAUUGAAUUCCAAACAUAUGCAGAAAAUCCAGAAUAUUAACUAAACUAAAAAAUAGAUAGCAAAAUAGAGUGAAAAAAACAGAUCAUAUUGAGAAAAAUGAAAAACAAAAAAAAAUAAAAUGCAAUUUGAAAGCUAACCAUAACAAAGAGAAUAGAAGAAAGUAAAAAAUAAAUAAAAGAAAGAUGAUUUAACAAAAAUAAAAAACAGAAUGUAGAAAGAAGAAAACAAAAGGCAAAAUUAGAAAACAAACAAAAAUAAAUACAAAAAGAAAAUAGGCAUUAGAAAAAGUGCAACAUAAAAUUAACAAGAAAAUACAAAUUACAAAGGAAAUAGAAAAGUAAUAAUUUGGAAAGCAAGAUUAACAAGACAAACUUAUAUACAUGUUUCCAUCCACCCCGCUUUUCUACGAUUCUCUAUCCUGAUACACUCUCCCGGUAAAAAAGGACAUGGCGGAAUUACUUCCGCAAUGAGAUUUCUAACAAAGAUUGUCAAAUAUUGCCCCCUUUUUCAGGUGGGUUGGUGGCAAGGUUGUUUCGUUUUGUGGGCAGUGUUUUGGGAAGGGGAAAAGCAGGAGAGAGGGACAUGCAGUUGAAAGCAUCAAACAGAAAUUGGAUUUUACUAAGACAGAAAUAUAGAGAGUGGAAAAUGGGAAGUAGAGUGUACAAAACAGGCAGCUAUAAUUUUUUUUUUUUGCUUGCCCAUUUAACUUUGUUCUGCAAUGCAGAAAAAGGAGCAAUUGCUAAACUAAAAGGUACAUGUACAAAAGAUGCGUGUCUAUGGACACGUGCAAUUUGUUGCUUAAGCAAGGAGUUUACAAUAAUAGAAACAAAGAAGAUAACAGAAGAUAUCUGAUUAGAAACAGAACUCAGGAAGAGAGAACUAAGAGCAUAGGGGAAGAAUUAUCCUCUGAAAACUGCAACUAAGGCGCAAAACCUCUCAUAAUGUCCACAGACACAUCAAUAAUUUGGCGUUAGAACAUACAUCGAAGGCACAAAGAAAAUGGUGGUCAUCAGCUGUGAGACACAGAGAGGAGAGAAAUUUGAGGUCUAAUAAAGACUGCACAAGGAGAUGAGAGAGGGAGAGGGAUGGAGAGAGGGGGUAAGUGUGUGAGGGGUGGGGGCACACACACACACACACACACAGACAGAGAGAGAGAGAGAGAGGAGGAGAGAGAGAGAGAGAGUNNNNNNNNNNNNNNNNNNNNGAGAGAGAGAGAGAUGAGUUUAAUUGGUAAAGGAGGUAGAAGAGGAAAGGCUAAAAAAUAUAUCAUAAUAAGUGCUGCUCUUGGAGACAGAGAGUCAAAGAAAGUUGUGAAAGUAAAUUUAGAUUGCUUGAUGCCACAUCAAAUUACUCCUUACAAAGUUAUAUAUAUUGCAUGAGCUGAGGAACAUGCCUUUUGAUUAUAAGAUUCAAGCCUCAGUCAAAUCAUUUGUUCUUAAUUAGUCAUGUGCAUCACAUGUGCUGAGUUCAAGGUUAAUAAAAGGUAAACCUUUCUGAAUAAGUUUUUCUAUAAAGUUCCCUUACUAAAAGCUAAAGGAUUUUUUUAGAAAACAUUUGACAGGUGAAUAUUAAAGCCUCCAUUUUAUAAAAUAAUAUAGAUUUGAUUUAUAACCAUAAACAUCAAGCCUUGUCUCAAUAAUUUGGUCCAGCUAACAGGUCAUAGUUUAUACCUUCAAACAUAUUCCCAAUGCAUAUUCUAUGCUUUUACAGCUUUUUCAACAACUUCUGCCAUAGUUCUUCUUUAAUAUACAAAACAUUAACUUGCCUAUGGAGAAGUAAAUGAUACAUAGCAUUUACAAUAAUUUAAAGCUAUUAAAAAAUCACAAUACUUUUAGCACCAGUUUGAUAUACUAAAAACAAUUGAUUAACAUAAAUUAAUUUACUAAAGCUAAGAUCUUGGAAGUUCUCACAACCACAUGGUUCAAAGAAAUACAGAGAGAAAAUAAAAGUCAAAUUAGAUCCUUCAGUGUUAGUAAAUAAACCUGUCACGGGUUCAAGAGAUUUAAAAAAUAAGAUUUUUUUUUUUUAAAAAAAAAGCAAUGUAGCAGAAGUUUCCAACAGUUAUCAAAUCUUCAAAGAUUCUUAAUAAUAGACAGCUAUAAAGAGAUAUCACCAUAACACACCAAAACCAAACUAGAAAUCAAGAACAAUAUGAAAAAUUCAAGAAAAAAGAAUGAGGAAAUUAUCAUAUAAUGCCAAGUCCAAACUACCAGUCAGGAACCAUCUCAAGGUUUCAAAGAAGAAGAAAGAAUGCAGGAAUGGACAGAUUCCUAUACCAGCAAAUACUCAAAGUUCUCCACUGAAGUCCUUGUUGCGAUUUGCAGUAUGAAAUACAUAGCAAAACACAAGGAUUGAAACAGAAAUGAAAAAUCAGACAAGAUCUGGUUAAACAAAGAUAGAUUGUAUGAGCUACCUAAAGGGCAAUGAGCAAGAAAUAGCAGCGUAAUGAACCCAAGAAAGACUACCACUCGUCUACUAGUCUAGUUAUUAGAUGAUAGAAACCACAUCAAACAUCAACAAAGUUAAAAGCAAGGGUAGACCUCACUAAAUGUGAAUUGCAGAAGCUUGCUUUACUUACCAAGCUUGCUUUACUUACCAAUAUAUCAUUCAAAAUUAAAACAUCAUAAAAGACUGCACAGAUACAUCAUCCAAAAGAAAACAACAGAAAUCACAUUAAAUAUCUGCAUAUACAGGAGCAAGCCCAAUUCAUUGUGAAUGACAAAUCCUGACUUUAAUUACUGACAGAAAUAUCAAAAAGAACUCUUCUACAAGCUUAGAAAGAAGUUAGAGCAAGAACAACCACAGAACAGCACAACAAAAACUCAAAAUGGCUACAGCACUAUCGCAUUAAAAAAAAAAAAUCCCCAGCCAAGAACAACAGAUAUAAAAACCCUAAUUCCAACAAUAUUCUUAAACUCCAAAUCCUAUUAAAAAAAGCGUAGAAGCCACAUUAAAUUUCUUCAACAUUGAUCAGCGGGGCAGAAAAGAUUAUCAAAAUCCAAGAAUUAUAAACGAUCACGUAGGUAAAUAUCCAUACCUACACGAUCACAAAAACUAAACCCCGACAAGGUGGCAGCUGGCGCACAAAAUAACAGGGAGAUCACCAUACAACAUCAAAACCUAAGAAGAAUCAUCACUAUAAUCCAAGAAAAAGAAAGAAAGUAGGAACAAGAACGCAACCAUAUAAUACCCAGCCACACUAGGAAUCAAGAACCAUCCUUGGAAUCCAAAGAAGAAUCACCAUACAUCACCCAAAUCCCAUACUAGAAGUCCAGAAACAUCCCAAGAACUCAGAGAAUAAUCAAGAAAACAGGAUAUUUGAGAAAAUUACUCUAUAACUGCAAGACCAAACUAGAAAUCAGGAACCAUCACGGGAUUUGAACGCAAAGGCAAGAAAAUCGGGAAGUGGGGACGGGUCAAAAAGGAAGAGCCCGUAGGGAGAGGCAAAGAGGGGCGUGGUCUAUAUAUAGAGAGUAACGGAGCGUUUGGCGCGGGAUGAUCCUCCCAAAAUAAAUGAUGCUGUAGAUGGACAGCGAUCAUCGUAUUUUGUUACAGUGAUUCUAAAUUAUUCCUAUCCCUUAAAUCAUCGCUCAAUAUAUGAUGAAAUGUGUCUCCUUAUAUCAAUAAUUUAAGACCACUCUAGAGUAAUAACCUUGAGCUAAAAAUUAAGAAUAAAAAUACCUCUUAAUCUAGCCAUUUUUCUAUUACUCCCUUACAGUUGUCUUCUUUUUCUUUCUAAUUACAUACGAAGUAUAAGGAUUACAAAAGUGCAUGCAUAGGAGAGCUAGGAUCUUUUGCGGUGUGUUUUCCACUACAUAGAGCUGCACAUUCUCUAUUAGUGCUAGGAUACCAAGCCUUAAAUGCAUGGAAUAUAUAAAGGCUCAUGUGAAUAUAUAUUCAGUUUCAUAUUACUUAUGUGCUAGCAAAAACUUGUAUAUUUAUAUAUAGGAUCAAAGAAUCUAAAAAUAUUUUCUAACCAAUUUUUUUGGAUGAGGUUUUAGAUUGUUGCAAUUCUUACCUCUUGUUUUGAAAAAUAAGUGGCACCUAUCUACCAUGCUCUUCUUUUUAUUUUUAUGCUAUCAUCUUUGCUCUUUUUCUUAGUUACUUUGCACCAUAUGAAGAGCACAGGAAGUACUUCCAUUCACAAACGUUAGCUUGGCAAUUUAUAAUCAAUUGACAACUACUAGUAAUGUGUUUGUCAUCUUUAUUUUCUCUCCAAUUUUUCUAUUAUCUUCAAGGGAAACUUUUUUUUCAUGAUUUUUGACUAGGCAAUAAGUUAGGGAGUAAUACUACACCCACACAUAGGUAGGGCUGCAAAUGAGACGAGUUGGAUCUAAGCAUGUCCAUGGAAAAAAUUUUAGAUCUGAUAGGUCAUUCAAGCUACAUCAAGGUCAAGUAUGAUUUGGACCCAAUUCAAAGUAUUCAAGUUUGAGUUGGGACUGGAUUAAGCCAGAUCUUCAACUCAAGUCAAAACUCUAGCUAUUCUUUCAUAGCUAAUAUAUAAUAAUUAAUAUUAAAUAUAAAAAUAUUAAAAAUUUAAAUUAACAAAAGCAAACCAACUUAAAUUAGAAUUUUAUUCAAAAACCUUCAAAUCCCUCCAAGUAAUUGCUUACUCUUAAGUUUAUAAACUAAUCCACCAAGAUACAGAUUUUUAUUAUUCAAACCAGAACCAAACCCCAUCCUUCAAUUGAUCAGGUACGGAGCAAAAAUUAGAUGCAAAACUUUGAUGGGUAUGGGGCGAGGUUUAGUAAAUCCCACCCCCAACUCCACCGUAGCACCCUAGUUGCAAGACCAUACCAGAGAACAGCGGAUAACAUCCCUAUUCCCCAACCGGAUUCUUUAUCCACUACAAAUUUAGCAGAAAUAUACAACUCCGUCCUAUCAAGGGAAUGGGAAAACGUCCAAAUUAAACUUUAGGCCAAUUAUCCGCUUCCCUUCUUCGUAUGAUAACAAGGACGUCAACUUAGAGGGCAACAUCCAAGACCGAUGCCUCCGCAUCUCCACCGACACCCUACUAAGGCUUCGGCCUUACUCUGUACCUUAUUGACAUAUAUAUAUAUAUAUAUAUACAUACAUACAUACAUACAUACAUACAUACAUACAUACAUACAUACAUACAUACAUACAUACAUACAUACUAGUACUAUAUUAGUACUAUACUUAGUAUUACGUACUUACNNNNNNNNNNNNNNNNNNNNUAUAUAUAUACAUACAUACAUACAUACAUACAUACAUACAUACAUACAUACAUACAUACAUACAUACAUACAUACAUACAUACAUACAUACAUAUGAUUGAUAACCUACUUUUGUUAUGGUAGGUUAUCAAUCUAUCCAUUUUUCAUUAGACAAAAAAUAUCCUUAUUUUUUGUAACUCUUAAGGAUGGUUUAUGUCUUUUUAUAAUCUCACCUUAACUCACCCUCUCAAUCCCCAAUUAAUGCUCUCUAUGAUGAGUAAUUCCCGAAUGAAAGCCCCUUGGCUCCUUCUCUGACAGAAGGCCAAAACAAUGGAAAAUUGAAUAAAUUAACCUCUCCGGCCCAGAGAGACGGGCAACCCAAGCUUUCACCAUUGGCUUUUAUGAACCCAUUGAAGGCGACGUGCUGUUUAUUCUUAUUCCCACACCUUUUUCCCUUCUCCUCUAGUCCAUGCUCCGCUCCAGAUACCGUGUAUGGUCUCUCCUCUCUCUAUUUUGAGUUUUGAACUUUGUAACUUUGCCUUGCUUCACAGUUAAUAAGGUGUAAAACAAGCACCGAGCUCUUGUUUCUCAGGUCUCUCCUCCGAAGGAUCAAGACAUGCCUGCAGCUGUCCACCCGGCCCCUGAACCCUCAGAAACCUUGCAGGAUGCCAACGCCGUUCCCAGGAUCCAGCCUCGCUGCACCCCAUCGUUGAAAACCCCCAUCAGUGCCCAAAUCUUCCGCGCAAUCUGCUGGCUCCUUAUCUUGGGUUCCAUCGUUUUUCUGGUGCUGUUCAUCAUCGACUGCGCCAUUUCGUCAGGCCCCAAGAUCUCCAUCGAUCGCAUCGCCGCCGAGGGACUCAGUACAACGCCUGACCUGACCUUAUCCCCCCAUUUCAACAUCACCGUCCGGGUUAAGAACCCGAGCAAAUUCUUCUCCAAGGACUGUUCCAGCCAUGGCUAUGCCGCCAUCUCUUACUCCGGCGUCACCGUCGGCGAUGGAGCCUUGGCGGCUUUCUGCCUUGACCCGAGCAAGUCGACGGUGUUGGAGACGGUGCUGAGGGGUUUGAACAUCGUGCUUGCAGAUGCAGUGCGUGACCGACUGGCGGAGGAUCACCGGCGAGGAGAGGUGGCGAUGGAGGUGGUCAUGAAGUUGUCCCCGCCGCCUGGCUUCGUAAAGGUUAGCGCUUUGUGCCAAGUGGUGGUAGGUCCCAUGUUUAGGUCAACGCCGUGUUCGGUGAAGAAAUGAUCAAAUAUACAAGUCCUAUCAUUUUGUUUGAUGUCGCAUGAUUUCACAUGGCUUCGAUAGCGAUGCUGUUAUAUAUGGUGUUGUUACGUAACGGUGUAAUGGUUAACAUAUGGUUAAUUUUUGAUUUCAUAAUCCAAUAGAACAGAGCUUUUUAUUCAUGAUUUUGAGAACCAUUAAAAGGUGAUUACAAAAGGUUAGAGAAAGCUCUAGGGGGGGGGGCGCCUAGCGCGCCCAGCUGCAUCAAUAUUCGUGCACCAGGGCGAAGAUGGGGACAGAUGCCGACGAGGGCCAGCGGGCGGACUCGACCUUUCCGUCGUGGUGGUGGUGGCGCAGGGUUCUCGGCGACCGAUGUGGACCAACCACCGGAUAUCAGCGGAGGAACUGGCGCUCCAAUGCCGAUUCACGGACGUUCUAGAACUGUUGGCCAAGGGGCUGAGGAGGGCGCGAGCGGCGUGGGCGUCGGCGGCGGUCGUCCUCCGGAGCCUGGGACGACGGAUUCCGGUGGAUUGGGUGGCUCGCGACAUGCGGUUGCGAGGUAGGCUCGGGUAUGAUGUUGAUUGUAUCCUGAUGGCGGAGGACUUGAUCACCAUUAGGUUCAAGUCCGACGGUCACCGAGCGGCGGCUCUCAAUGGCGGGCCAUGGGCAGUGGCCGAACAAUUGUUGGCGAUGGAGGAAUGGAAGCCCGACUUCAUUCCGGGCAUCAAUACGGUAAGCAAAACCGUGAUCUCGCUUCGUCUCCCCCGCCUUCCUCUGGAGUUCUCGGAAAGGGAAUCCCUACUGGACAUUGCCAUGGGGGCGGGCCGGCCUCUGGAGAUAGCGUCUCUGACCAGCUCCGGUGUGCGGGGUUCGCGAGGGUGAAGGUCGAAGUAGACUCUCUCAACCCUCUAAAGUCGGGGGUUUUUCUGCAAGGGGAAUCGACUAGGAUCUGGCAUGCCUUAGUUACGAAGACCUACCGAUCUUCUUCUUUGGCUGUGGCUGUAUCGGACGCUUGGUGGGCGAUUGUAGCCAGCCCGAAACGGAGCCGGAGAAGGUGGGUGAGCUGGGCCCUGCGUCCCAGUCGAAGAUGCCUAGAUCGAUGGGGGACGGGCACACCGGUGGCACGGUCUUCGGCCCAUGGCUGGCCACAUGUCGAAUCCGCCAGCCGCAGGCCACCGACGCCAGGGGGAAGACGAAGAAGGCGGCCGAGGACCACCUUGAGUCGGCAUCGUGUCUGCCACCUUCCUACUCGUCACCGAGCCCACCUCGAAACGGGUCGAACUCGCCCUCAUCGCCGUCUGACACCGAGGGAUGGCAAAAAACAAAAAGGGUGGCGCGGCGGGGAUCGGCGGAGAAGUGGCCGGCGGUCGGCGGCACGGUGGUGGCCAGGGAGGAGGCGAGGUGGCCCCAACCUGGCUCCAUUCCAAGUCCGGUGCGGCCGAGCUGCUGUGGCAAGUCGGGCUAGGGCAUGGACGCAAUGGAGAUGGGCCGGCCUACGGCCGAGAAGGGAGUCUGGGUUUAGACCCGAGCCAGACUGAAAGUGCAAGGGAUUUGGGCGGAGGCCGAUGUUUGUGGAGGAGGCCAGGGAUUGGACUUGGGCCAGGAUGCUAGCGCGACAGACCAGGCCGGGCCCAGGAAGGGAGCGAGAGCUCUAGCAGGGCGAGACCUAGCAAUGGGCCGGGCCAAGUGGAGCUAGCUUGAAGCCCAUCUAGGAAGCCCAGGGCCAGUAGAUCUGUAGCAGGCGGGCUCGAUGCCUGUGAGUCAUGCCGAAAGGGGGUGCCAAUUGCCUGUGGGCCAUGCCAGAAGGUCUCUAUGCUGGGAGAGGGCUCCUCUUGCCAGGGGGUCUCAGCCGGGGGGAGAGAGGCACCACUUUUGUAGCUGAAGUCUCUCUCCGGCAGUCUUGGAGGGUGGCACACGGUCGGCGAGCUACCAAGACGGCACGGUGGAGGGCGGGGGCAACCGCCGGCAAGCCACCGGUGUUGACCUCCAUCGACAGCGGGCCGUGAAGGGUGUGGAGGGGUUGCGGGCCGAGGUAAGCCCCAACUAAGCCGAUCGCCUAUUGGUGAGCGGGCCACCCGUCCAGUGCAAGCUGUCGGCUGGCAGGGGGCACCUUGGUCGAGAACCACAAGCAGGAGACCGACGCCACUUCCUCAGCAUUUGGGGAACGCAAGGUCGGGACAGCUGGGGUAUGCUAGGAUAAGGUGGGCCCUAUUGGGCCGUGGCAUGGGGCCAAGGUCUGUUUGGAGGGAACAAAGCAUGAGGAGGUCUUCGGCUCCUUCAAAGGGCCAUGCAUGGGCCCACCUUGGAGGAGCCAAUGUCGAUUGGGGCGCUGAAGGAGCCAGAGUCGGGAGGCUUAGAGUGCCCUCCUCCUCCAACUCUACAAUAUAAAGAUUCUUAUUUGGAAUUAUCGGAGAACUGGGAAGCCUUCCUUCAUUUGGAGACAGAAGUCCCGCAUUUAGUGGAUUAGAAAAGGGGACUGGAACAUGAGGUCUUUUCAUCAAGCGAUCAUUAUCCAAAGACAAAGGAAUAUGGUCUAUAGAAUCAAGGACAACAACGGGCAGAUGAUUGAGAACCCCGAUACUAUCAGAUGGACAUUAGAGCAAUUUUUCAGGUCGAGGUGGUUCGAGUCGUGCCGAAAGGGGGUGCCAAUUGCCUGUGGGCCAUGCCAGAAGGUCUCUAUGCUGGGAGAGGGCUCCUCUUGCCAGGGGGUCUCAGCCGGGGGGAGAGAGGCACCACUUUUGUAGCUGAAGUCUCUCUCCGGCAGUCUUGGAGGGUGGCACACGGUCGGCGAGCUACCAAGACGGCACGGUGGAGGGCGGGGGCAACCGCCGGCAAGCCACCGGUGUUGACCUCCAUCGACAGCGGGCCGUGAAGGGUGUGGAGGGGUUGCGGGCCGAGGUAAGCCCCAACUAAGCCGAUCGCCUAUUGGGGAGCGGGCCACCCGUCCAGUGCAAGCUGUCGGCUGGCAGGGGGCACCUUGGUCGAGAACCACAAGCAGGAGACCGACGCCACUUCCUCAGCAUUUGGGGAACGCAAGGUCGGGACAGCUGGGGUAUGCCAGGAUAAGGUGGGCCCUAUUGGGCCGUGGCAUGGGGCCAAGGUCUGUUUGGAGGGAACAAAGCAUGAGGAGGUCUUCGGCUCCUUCAAAGGGCCAUGCAUGGGCCCACCUUGGAGGAGCCAAUGUCGAUUGGGGCGCUGAAGGAGCCGGAGUUGGGAGGCUUAGAGUGCCCUCCUCCUCCAACUCUACAAUAUAAAGAUUCUUAUUUGGAAUUAUCGGAGAACUGGGAAGCCUUCCUUCAUUUGGAGACAGAAGUCCCACAUUUAGUGGAUUAGAAAAGGGGACUGGAACAUGAGGUAUUUUCAUCAAGCGAUCAUUAUCCAAAGACAAAGGAAUAGGGUCUAUAGAAUCAAGGACAACAACGGGCAGAUGAUUGAGAACCCCGAUACUAUCAGAUGGACAUUAGAGCAAUUUUUCAGGUCGAGGUGGUUCGAGUAGGAGGUUUCAUCCGGUGGGGGAGUUGUGCCAACUACCAGCGACAAGGGUCUCGGAGGCAGUAUUGGUCGGUCCUGUGUCGGCGGCGGAGGUCCAGAAGGCCCAUUAGUCCUUCGGUGAGGAUAAGGCCCACGGGUCUAGAUGGGUUUCCUCUAGUCUUCUUUAGGAGGUAUUGAUAGAUUAUUAGGGUGAUGGUUACGGCAACUAUCCAAUAGUUCUCGUUGGCGUCGAUACCGGACGAGUGGAAGCGGACAUUUAUCACUCUGAUCCUAAAGAGGCAAGAUCCAACAGAGCUAGGCCACUUCCGACAGAUCAGUCUGUGUACCACUCUCUAUAAGGCGGUGACGAGGAUUCUAGUCCAGAGGAUGAGUGGUAUCUUGCCUAUACUUAUCUGCCUUGAGCGGGGAGCCUUUAUUGGGGGUCGGUCCAUCUCUGAUAAUGUGCUCAUUGCUCAAAAAUUUAAAUCAGACCUCCAGAGGGCACCAGGAGGGAGGAGUCUAAUAGGCGUCAAGCUGGACAUGGAGAGAGCCUAUGACAGGAUGAGGUGGGGUUUCGUGGCUCAGUCCUUGGAGUGCUUUGGCUUCCACCCACUUUGGAUCAGAUAGAUCCAGGGCUGCAUCCAUGCACCAUUCUUCGCCUUACUGGUGAACGACUCCCUAUCACAAUUAUUCGUGUCUUUGGUGGGUUUGAGGCAGGGUUGCCCUCUAUCGCCACUCAUGUUCAUCAUCUGCGUAGACUACCUGUCUAGAUCACUCCGGCUGGUCUCGGCGAGGUAAGAGGUGAAGGCCUACAGGCCGGCACUAGACUCAACCCAGAUCUCUCAUCCAUUGUUUGCAGAUGACUGCCUACUGCUAGCCUGGGUAUGAGGAGGUCGGCCAUGACGCUCAGACGGGUGCCAGGGGAGUAUUGUGUAAUAUCCGAACAGCAAGUCAACAUGGCAAAGUUAAUGAUCUGCUUCAGCCCGAAGGUUCAGCCUGGGGUGAAGGCCGUCAUUAUGGAUAUCUUGGGCAUUGGGGAAUAGGAGGGUACCUUGAGAUAUCUCGGGAUUCUGAUCAUAGGCCGACGCCUCCGCAGGGAGGAUUACGCCUCCCUGGAGCAUGACAUCGAGCGGAGACUGGAAGGUUGGCAGGUGAGUGCCCUAUCUAUGAUGGGCAAGAUCACACUGGUACAUUUAGUUCUCAGCUCAAUUCUGAUCUAUCUCUUAUCCAACACCUUGGUGCCGAUCGCAGUGCUGCGGUGCUUGAAGCGCUAGUUCAAGAGCUUCAUCUGGGGGCGGCGGAGGAGUGGCGGUGGCAUUCACCUGCUGGCAUGGGACACGAUAUGUCAGUUAACCUGCAGUGGUGGGUUGUGGAUCCACUCUCUGUUAGAGCAGUAGAAGAUCUUCACCACCAGGCUCGCAGUCAAAUUUCUUUUGGAGCCGGCGAGUCUCUAGGGCUCCAUGAUGAGGGUCAAGUAUGGGGACCCGGCCAACCCGUUAGUCUUCCGAGUGGGCCAGCGUAGCUCCUUCAUCUGGAGGAAGAUUUGCUCCCGGGCUCCCUUGGUGACCCUGGAGAUCAGAUAGGAGAUUAGGGAUGGGUGAGCCGUCGAUGCUGGUGAGGGACAGAUGAUUGGCGGACUUGUUCGAGGCCGACUAGCUGGAGGGACGUAGGGUCUGUGACCUGUUUACACUAGAGGAGAGAAGAUGGGAUGAGGACCUUGUACGCCGAGCGUUUGGUGAGCAGUUAGCCGAGAGGGUGUUGACAAUGUUGAUCCUUGCAAGGGAGGUAACAAAUAGGCGGUUUUGGAGUAGUACAUGCAGGACAGAGGUGAAGGCAGGGGAUCAUCUCGGGCAGAUCAGGAGGUCGUCGGCACAACAUAUUGAUGGGGAUUGGAUUUAGAGGUUGUAUAUUCACCCCCGAGUGGCCCUGUUCUUCUAAAAGGUAGCUUAGGGAUGCCUGCCCAUUAGAGGACUGCUAGCUCGACGAGGUGUGCACAUUCCCCUAGGCUGUUGGGCCUGCCAGGAGGAGGAAGAGUCUAUCUUCCAUAUCCUUUUUGGCUGUCAGCAAGCUGUUUAGAUCUGAAAGUAUGCUUCGACUUCCCCUGGCAUGCGGUAGGGGUGGUCGUUGACCGAGGAGUUUCUGACUUUCCUAGAGGUUUUUUCACGAAGGCCCGGCCUUGUGGAGCAAGGGAUUAGGGCUGCAUAUCUGGCUUAUCACUGCUGGCUAGAUAGGAAUGCUCGUAUCUUUGAGAACAGAGGUGCUCAUCCAAGGAUAGUGGUGGAUAAAGCACUGCUCCAUGCAGCAGAGGUCAUUGACACUACUGCAUCAUCGUCCCUUGGGUUGGCUAGAAAAAUCUGGAAUUUCCAUUCCACUCUUGUAGCAUCCAGGGUUGUGCUCGUCUCUUCGGAUCUUCCACUCCCUGGCUUUCUCAAGGUAAACUUCAAUGACAGCGCCGGCGGGGCAGGGAGCAACAGUGGCGUUGGCUUUGUUAUCAGAGACCAGGAUGCCAGAGUAGUGGCAACCAGGGGUCGGCGGAUCUUCGACCAGUCCGUUAUCAGAGCUGAGCUUAGAACAGUAUGAGAGAGUGCUACCUAUGCGAGGCGGGUAUCGGGCACGGACCGUAUCAUCCUAGAGGGAGACUCGGCUAUGGUGAUCGAAUAUAUUCAAGGUCGGAGGCGCGCUGCCAACAGGAUGCGCCUGCUCCAUGACAUGUGCAGCUUGCUAGGUGAGUGUGCCUCAUGUUAGGCUUUUCAUGUCUAAAGAGAAGACAACAGUACUGUGGAUUGGGUGGCAGCCUAUGCGGCGCAACACUCGGAAGAGUUAAUUUGGGGGAACCACAUGUCUAUCCCGUCCCUAUUGCAUUAUCUACUUUUAUCUGAUUUCACGGGCUGUACUUACACCCGUUGUGUGUGAGCCGCCGUUGUACCAAAAAAAAAAAGAUGAUUAUUUAAUAAUUUUUGAAGUGGUGGUCGUUAUCAUAUGUGGCCAAUCAUGUACAUUAUGGCUUACUAUAAUAAAUAUUAUUUUAUUUUUUGUAUAUUUUAUUUUUUGAUUCCCAAGGAUAAUAAAUCCAAAUUUACCCCCAAAAAUAAGUUGUGAUCUUUUUGGAUAGGAAAAAGGAACUAAAAAAGACAUGUUUAUGGAGUAAGUUUUUUCCUUUUUUUUGGUGAAAAUAAAUUUAGCUAUUUCAAUCAUGCUCUAAGCUAGUCCUGAAAUAUAAUGCAUGAGUCCUUUUAUAACCAUGAGCAUUUAACGACUCCAUGCACAACAUUUUCUUUCGAUAUCUGAUAUCUGGAGCCUUACGUUUUGCAGACCCAACUUAAUGUCCAUGGAUGCCUGUAACAAAUGGCACGAGUCAUAGCAACUUGCAAUUGCAAGCAAUGUGACUAAAUCAAUGUAUCAAGAGCAAUUCGUUAUUUCCCAACUGAGGUAACUCCUAAUCGCACCACGGUUAUGUACGAUAGGCAAAAGGAAUAUUUCAUAUAUGUAUAAUGGGAGUUAUCUUAUUGACUACUGAGUCUCUUUAAAUAAUUGAGAAAUUAAUAGACAAGUCAAUAAUAUUAAACUUCAUAUAAGAAACAUAUAAUAUCUUAUGUAAUAUGAGAUAAGGAACAUGUAAGAAAACCUUUUUCUUGAUAAGGAACAUAUGAUGAGAUCGAGUUAGCUAUCAAUUCAUUUCAUGGGAAAAUGAAAUGAGUACAAAAGAUACGUCAAAAAAGCAUAAAAUCUCAAAGCUUCAUAGGAACAACAUUUUUAACAAAAUCAAUGUUCCUGGUGAUUCUGUUUACGAGGAGUAACUCUCCUAUUCCUCCGGAGUUUAAUUUCUCGGAUAGCUGCAGAGACUUAUGGAUGCAGUUUUCUAAGACAGUUGAAUGUUUUUGUCUUUCUUUUUCUAUCUACCGGGACUUUGGUCCCAUUGUACCAAGAAAGACAAAAUUAAUCGAAAUAUUAAACUUUGCUCUACAACUGGAGCAAGAAAGCCUUUCUCAUAAACUCUACCAUGGUAUAUUAAGAAAAGCAUCCAAUCGUCACGCUCUUAAAAUCUUAAAUCUUUCCAACUUGAGCAAAAAUAAAUUGAUAUUUUUUAUUCAUAUCAAUAUCAGUUGUCCAUUAAAGAUGAUCGUGAUAUCAGAACUUGAAACCUUGGCUCAUAAAUUUUGAAAUUCAAAAGCAUCUCUCUUACGAGUUUUCUAUAUCAUUGAAACAUGACGAGGAAUACAUACGGUAGGCAAAUGUAAAGUGAAAACUCCGUAGCAGAAGUGCUGAGUGCUCCUGUUCCACUAGAUUAGAGAUAUUUUGUAUUGGAUAUGUUCUGACCCUUAAAGGGGGUAAAAAGAAAAAAGAUCAUUUUAUGUAUUGCGCCGAACCAAUGAACUGCACCAAUAUUCUCUUGAGACAUGGCAUACCAGCGAUAAAGGAAUUUUCCAAGGAAGUAAAACAUUCAAAAUAGAGCCAAAACUGCCACUAAUCACCCCUUGCCACUUGGUCAAGGGGCCGAGGGUUUGAUUCUAGUUAGAGUGAGUCCUUUGAAGGGUGCAGGGAAUGGAAUGAAAAUAGAGAUUGGUAACUCUUAAUCUCAAAAAAAAAGUCAAAACUAUUAAAAAUUGUUUGUGAUCUAAAAGGAUCGCCGAACUCGAUAGACCACUUGGGCCACCGCGGAUAGAAUUAAAGAGGGUCUAAGAACAAAAUCCGUCAGAUCGAGAAACUGAAUUAUGAGCUAAACUUCUGGAGGUCAUAACUUGGUCAUAUAUAGAGCUGAUUAUGGGUCGGGCUUCGGGCCUAAACUCUAUUCGUUUUUAAUCGAGCUUCAGGCCAAGCCUAUAUAAAAUUUGAUAUUUUCUGUGCCCAAGCUCGACUCAUGAUCAGCUUUAGUCAUACGAUGCCCGACUAGGAUCAUCUUUUAUUUUUUGUUAAAAAAUAAAUAACUUUUCGAGAUCUAUGAUAUGGUGCGACCCCUAUUCUUAGCAAUUAGGGCCAAAUUCUAUCUUUUAGAUCCUGAAACGAGUCUGUCAAAUUAAAAUUUUUUUUAGAAAAAGAUUUUGAUCGAACGUAUCUUCUAAUCUAAGAAGAAUCAGAUGGAGCAAUAAAAGGCAAAAUUGAUGUAGAAGUCGAAAUCUACGCCUAUAGAAUUUUAGCAUUUUUAAGUUUAUUUCUAUUAGUCGUAUUUAUUUUAGGAAAAUGAGUUCUAUUAGAUCUAGGAGAAGAAUCCAACCCGAAUUAUAUAAGGAAGGAAACUCCGUCAAAUAAGGAAAGUUGUGUGGAGGAUGACACUGGCGANNNNNNNNNNNNNNNNNNNNNNNNNNNNNNNNNNNNNNNNNNNNNNNNNNNNNNNNNNNNNNNNNNNNNNNNNNNNNNNNNNNNNNNNNNNNNNNNNNNNNNNNNNNNNNNNNNNNNNNNNNNNNNNNNNNNNNNNNNNNNNNNNNNNNNNNNNNNNNNNNNNNNNNNNNNNNNNNNNNNNNNNNNNNNNNNNNNNNNNNNNNNNNNNNNNNNNNNUGACUAGGUUAUUGUCAUAUGAUGUGAAUGUUUUAUUUGACUCUGGUUCUAUCCAUUCCUUCAUAUCGGCCAAUUUUGUUAGAAAGAAUACUGAAAUAUCACCUAUGCCAUUAGAAUUUGAUCUCUGUGUCUCAACGCCAAGUGGAGAUGUUAUAUUAGUUAAUUCAGUUUGCAAGAACUAUAUUUUGGACAUUGAGGACAGGAAAAUGAAUGCAGACUUGCUGGUCCUAGAGAUGAAUGAUUUUGAUUUGAUUCUUGGAAUGGACUGGUUGGCAGCAUACCAUGCUACUGUUGAUUGUUUUGAGAAAACGAUUAAGUUUCAGAUCCCUGGUUAGCCAGUGUUUGGUUUGGUGGGUAGCAAGUCACCUCAUCAAAUGAAGUUAAUCUCGGCUCUACAGGCUAGGAAGCUUCUUGCAAAAGGUUGUGAAGGAUUCUUAGCUGCUGUGUUAGACACCCAAAAAAAGGAGCCCAAGUUAGAGGAUAUUCCUGUGGUGACAGAAUUUCUAGAUGUGUUUCCAGAUGAAUUGCCAGAAUUACCCCCUGAUAGGAAGAUUGAGUUCUCCAUUGACAUGAUUCCUGGCACUGGUCCAAUUUCAAAAGCUCCAUAUCGAAUGGCUCCAGUUGAAUUGAAAGAGCUGAAGGAACAACUACAGGAGUUACUAGAUAAGAAUUUUAUCAGACCUAGUGUUUCUCCUUGGGGCGCUCCUGUAUUAUUUGUGAAAAAGAAAGACGGUAGCUUCCGACUCUGUAUAGACUACCGAGAAUUUAACAGGAUGACAGUACAGAAUAAAUACCCACUAUCAAGAAUUGAUGACUUGUUUGAUCAGCUGCAAAGGGCUCAGGUUUUCUCGAAGAUUGAUCUUCGUUCUGGCUAUCACCAAUUAAAAAUAAGAAUCUUCGUAAACUGGGCUAUCUUUAUAGCAUGUCUCUUUAAAGUGAAAGUGGAAUUCUCCCUUUGUUUUUUCCUUUCCAUUCACUCGGAUCUCUUCCGUUUCAUCUAUUUUUUCCGGAUCUUCCUGUUCUUCCGAACAAAGGGAAGGGUCUUCUUCGGCGGAUCCCUCUUGUUCCUGUUUAGUCUCCUUCGUUUCGGAAGUUGUUUCUACAUCGCUUUCUUCCUCACUUUCUCCCCUUUCUUCCAUUUCUGAGGUUUCUUUCAGUUUCUUUGUGACAAUAGGCGACGGCAUUCUGCCUAAAUAGUAGACACAGGUGAUAAAUAAGAGAAUACUAAAGAUUCGAGCCAUAGAAUUUCUCAAUUCUGACACAAGG